CCUAGUGACCGAUAGUGAACCAGUACCGUGAGGGAAAGGUGAAAAGCACCCCGGGAGGGGAGUGAAAUAGUUCCUGAAACCAUGUGCCUACAAUAAGUCAGAGCGCGUUAAUGCGUGAUGGCGUGCCUUUUGUAGAAUGAACCGGCGAGUUAUGAUCCCGUGCAAGGUUAAGACUAAAAAGUCGGAGCCGUAGCGAAAGCGAGUCUGAAAUGGGCGUUUUGAGUACGAGGUUAUAGACCCGAAACCAGGUGACCUAUCCAUGUCCAGGUUGAAGGUGCGGUAAAACGCACUGGAGGACCGAACCCGUGUAAGUUGAAAAUUGCUGGGAUGAGGUGUGGAUAGCGGUGAAAUUCCAAACGAACUUGGAGAUAGCUGGUUCUCUCCGAAAUAGCUUUAGGGCU
rnacentral:rRNA from 2 species